GGUGGAAGCGACAGCAUUGUGCUGGGGUUCGGGAAGGAUGAGUAUCAUUGGUCAGAAUAUGGUACAAAUUGUGACUUGUUCGCCGAAGGAGAGAAGGCCGGCUGCCCAAGGGCAGCGUAUUUUCCCUCUCCGCCGUACAGUCUCUAAUGCAGUUCCCUGCAACAAGGCAGGAUUGAAUUGUGUGUCUCCCCCACCCCUCCGACUCCGACCCCUUCGCCGGCCGAAACGUAACGGAGCACAACGGCCCCUGAACUCGGAGGUCCUUUUCCGAGCACGUCUGGACUGCGUGUGGGUCGCGCCUUCCUUUCUCUGGUUCUUGCAAACGAUGCAAUUUCUUCAUCCAGGCGGUUUACGUCAUCACUUCCUCUGUUUUCUGUCACAAUGUUCUCCAAAGCCCAGUGAGAAGAAGAUCAUUUUGUGCUGGCUUCAUUUUCUUCCAAUGAAGGCCCAGUCUCUCCUCGUUUCUGUGGUUUUCAGCAAACGUAUCAUAUUGUGUGUGUGUGCUUGUGAGAGCAGACAUUGACCUGCAGAGGCCAGUGAAGGCAGGAUAAUCGGAACAUUCUGAAUUAUUUGCUGGGAAACCCACUCCCCACCCAACUUCUUUUAACCUUUAUGUAAAGCUACAGGAGAAGACAACAUAGCAAUAAAACAGCUUCCUCCUUGUUCUGCCAUCAAACAAGGUCAGUGUGUAUGUUAUCAUAUCCAUUAGCUUCACAGGCACUUGUUAUUAC